rnacentral:tRNA from 1 species
GCCGAGAUAGCCAAGUUGGUCACGGCGGGCGCCUGAAGAGCGUCAAAUAUUGGUUCGAUUCCAAUUCUCGGCACAA